GACAUAUCUCAAGGGCAAUCUGAUUACCCUGUAGAUGAUCUCAGCACAGCCCGAGGUUCUGAUGUAUCCACAGAAGCACCUGGCCCCUACUGAUAUCUACUUAGGUAGGACCUGGAACAUCUUCUCCUCGCAAAUCUACACUCCAAAAAUCAGAUCUCUAUCUAAUUUGGAAGUGCUUCAGAACUCCUUCUGAAGUUGGAGCAGCAGCCUAUCGAAGAUGUCCUGCAGUCUUCCUGUUCCAGGCAUCACCACGCCUUGGACCUUUGCCAGAUGGAUGUCCAACUCCUUGGACAUGAAGAGAGG
rnacentral:lncRNA from 1 species